rnacentral:tRNA from 1 species
GCCUUCGUGGUGUAACGGUAGCACACUCGGCGCGUAUUCCAGAGGUCCAGGUUCGAGUCCCGCGAGGGCA